rnacentral:siRNA from 1 species
GACACUUUGGCCGAGUGGUUAA